rnacentral:rRNA from 1 species
GAUGAACGCUAGCUACAGGCUUAACACAUGCAAGUCGAGGGGCAGCACUAGGUAGCAAUACUGAGGUGGCGACCGGCGCACGGGUGCGUAACGCGUAUCCAACCUUCCCGUUACUCUUGGAUAGCCUUCCGAAAGGGGAGAUUAAUACCUGAUGGUGUUCAAAUUCCGCAUGUUAUUUGAACUAAAGAUUCAUCGGUAACGGAUGGGGAUGCGUGACAUUAGAUAGUAGGCGGGGUAACGGCCCACCUAGUCUACGAUGUCUAGGGGUUCUGAGAGGAAGGUCCCCCACACUGGUACUGAGACACGGACCAGACUCCUACGGGAGGCAGCAGUGAGGAAUAUUGGUCAAUGGGCGGGAGCCUGAACCAGCCAAGUCGCGUGAGGGAAGACGGUCCUAUGGAUUGUAAACCUCUUUUGUCGGGGAGCAAAGAAGUCACGUGUGACUAAAAGCGAGAGUACCCGAAGAAAAAGCAUCGGCUAACUCCGUG